rnacentral:rRNA from 1 species
UACGUAGGGGGCAAGCGUUGUCCGGAUUUAUUGGGCGUAAAGCGCGUGUAGGCGGCCAGGUAGGUCCGUUGUGAAAACCCGAGGCUCAACCUCGAAACGCCGGCGGAAACCAUCUGGCUAGAGUCCGGAAGAGGAGAGUGGAAUUCCUGGUGUAGCGGUGAAAUGCGCAGAUAUCAGGAAGAACACCCGUGGCGAAAGCGGCUCUCUGGAACGGUACUGACGCUGAGACGCGAAAGCGUGGGGAGCGAACAGG